AACAAAAUUAUUUCUCUCAAAAUUUCACCGCCUCUAUAGACCCUAAACCUCCCUUCUCUCUGAUUCUUCAUCGGCGGCGAGAUUCGACCGAUUGGGUGGCGUUUAGGCAUUUCAUUUGGUUUAGAAUCUGCGAGCUGAGUGUCGCACCGUUCGGGUGGCGUUUAAGCAUUUGGAGAAGAUCGUCGAGCCGAGAUCGGCAGUUUGAUUCUGUCGGCGACAAAUACAGUUCUCGGCGGGUGAUGUAUCCUCUCAUAUCCUCUGUUGAUUUCCAUUUGCUUUGCUUGAAGAUUUGAAACGAGGGAGAUAUUUGUGCUCUCUCCAUGUUCUUGGGAAUCCAGGCUGACCUCGUGUGCAAGGAUAAUGGUCAAAACUACAAUGAUUAGGUUUUUUCUAUGCCUCCAGUGCUUGUAUCUAUCCCGAAUUUAAGCAGUUGGAGACCAAUGUGAGCUUGAAGGAGGCUGAUGCAUGGCCUACAGAGUGAUUGGUGUACCCUCAAGAUGCUUAUGGUCUAGAGAAGCUGGCUACCGAGGAGUUGUGUAAACACUACAACAAGGACUUUGGUAUUGAGUGCCGCAUAGGAAGGUUCCAUAAUAUUUAUGGUCCAUUCGGGACAUGGAAAGGUGGGAGGGAGAAAGCACCAGCUGCUUUCUGUAGGAAAGCACUCACUGCUACUGAUAAAUUUGAGAUGUGGGGAGAUGGCAAGCAAACACGGUCGUUUACCUUUAUUGAUGAAUGUGUUGAGGGUGUUUUAAGAUUUUUCUCGGAGUACAAAUUUGAUAUCACAAAGUUGGAGCCUUGGGGUCCAAGGUGAUUACGUGGUUUUCCCUCGUACUGGAAUGCAUGCAUUUUUUGGAUGUGCUUUUCAAGGUGGUUGGGUCCGGCUCGUGAUAGCUGAUGCCUUCCUCCUCAUCAUGUACUACGGCUGCCAUUACGGGACAUUGAAGCGAUACGGAU